UGCAGCCUUGUCAAAUUCAGUGCUUCCUCUGUGGAUGCCACUGGCCAAAAUGGCUACCACAGUGAAGCUGUAGUUCAUGGGCCCCACUGUGCUUCAUCAUGUCCACUGGGGAUACAAAUGUACUACACACAGAC